AUCUCCACAAAACAUUUUGCAUUCCCCAUGGUGGAGGUGGUCCUGGCAUGGGUCCUAUUGGUGUGAAAAAACACCUGGCACCAUUUCUGCCUUCCCAUCCUGUGGUAAUGUUUCUUGAAUUAAAUAUACAUUCCAUGAAAAGAAAAUUUGGUGCUUCAAUAUUUUUAUUGUACUUCCUAAUUUCCUUGUCAUCAUAACUGAAGGUAUCUACGGGUGGUAUACCAGCUCCUGACAAAUUACAGCCACUUGGUACCAUAUCUGCUGCACCUUGGGGCUCUGCACUUAUUUUGCCAAUAUCAUAUACUUACAUAGCAAUGAUGGGAUCUAAGGGACUCACUGAUGCAUCAAAGAUAGCUAUUCUCAAUGCAAACUACAUGGCAAAACGUUUGGAGGUCC
rnacentral:lncRNA from 1 species